rnacentral:rRNA from 1 species
UACAGAGGUCUCGAGCGUUGUUCGGAUUCAUUGGGCGUAAAGGGUGCGUAGGUGGCGCUGUAAGUCGGGUGUGAAAUCCUGGGGCUUAACCUCGGAACUGCAUUCGAUACUGCGGCGCUUGAGGACUGGAGAGGAGACUGGAAUUCAUGGUGUAGCAGUGAAAUGCGUAGAGAUCAUGAGGAAGACCAGUGGCGAAGGCGGGUCUCUGGACAGCAACUGACGCUGAGACGCGAAAGCGUGGGGAGCAAACAGG